GGAGAGUUUGUAGCGGAAUACAGGGUGAGGUGAGAUCUUGAUCAUCGAUUGUCAGAUGAGUGAGAGUUAGUGUCGCUUGGUCUGUAGUCUUCUGUAAGAAUUUUCUAAAGCAUGGGAGGACACAACAAACGAGAAGAGCGAGAACAAAAAGGAAAAUUAGUACAGCCAUACCAUUAUGGACUAAAGCUUUCUGCCAACUUGAC